rnacentral:rRNA from 1 species
AGAGCGAACGCUGGCGGCAGGCUUAACACAUGCAAGUCGAGCGGGCGUAGCAAUACGUCAGCGGCAGACGGGUGAGUAACGCGUGGGAACGUACCUUUUGGUUCGGAACAACACAGGGAAACUUGUGCUAAUACCGGAUAAGCCCUUACGGGGAAAGAUUUAUCGCCAAAAGAUCGGCCCGCGUCUGAUUAGCUAGUUGGUGAGGUAACGGCUCACCAAGGCGACGAUCAGUAGCUGGUCUGAGAGGAUGAUCAGCCACAUUGGGACUGAGACACGGCCCAAACUCCUACGGGAGGCAGCAGUGGGGAAUAUUGGACAAUGGGCGCAAGCCUGAUCCAGCCAUGCCGCGUGAGUGAUGAAGGCCCUAGGGUUGUAAAGCUCUUUUGUGCGGGAAGAUAAUGACGGUACCGCAAGAAUAAGCCCCGGCUAACUUCGCGCCAGCAGCCGC